rnacentral:ncRNA from 1 species
GUUAUCUUGUCGGAGUGCCCAGCGUCGCGGUAACGCGUGCGGGCUGAGACCGUUAAUUCGGGAUCCGCGGAACCUGAUCAGGUUAAAACCUGCGAAGGGAACAAGAGUAAACAUCAU